rnacentral:rRNA from 1 species
UACGUAGGGUGCAAGCGUUGUCCGGAAUUAUUGGGCGUAAAGAGCUCGUAGGCGGUUUGUUGCGUCGGCUGUGAAAUCCCGAGGCUCAACCUCGGGUCUGCAGUCGAUACGAGCAAACUAGAGUGUUGCAGGGGAGACUGGAAUUCCUGGUGUAGCGGUGAAAUGCGCAGAUAUCAGGGGGAACACCGGUGGCGAAGGCGGGUCUCUGGGCAACAACUGACGCUGAGGAGCGAAAGCGUGGGGAGCGAAUAGG